GAUGAACGCUGGCGGCGUGCCUAAUACAUGCAAGUCGAGCGAACGGACGAGAAGCUUGCUUCUCUGAUGUUAGCGGCGGACGGGUGAGUAACACGUGGAUAACCUACCUAUAAGACUGGGAUAACUUCGGGAAACCGUAGCUAAUACCGGAUAAUAUUUUGAACCGCAUGGUUCAAAAGUGAAAGACGGUCUUGCUGUCACUUAUAGAUGGAUCCGCGCUGCAUUAGCUAGUUGGUAAGGUAACGGCUUACCAAGGCAACGAUGCAUAGCCGACCUGAGAGGGUGAUCGGCCACACUGGAACUGAGACACGGUCAAGACUCCUACGGGAGGCAGCAGUAGGGAAUCUUACGCAAUGGGCGAAAGCCUGACGGAGCAACGCCGCGUGAGUGAUGAAGGUCUUCGGAUCGUAAAACUCUGUUAUUAGGGAAGAACAUAUGUGUAAGUAACUGUGCACAUCUUGACGGUACCUAAUCAGAAAGCAACGGCUAACUACGUG
rnacentral:rRNA from 1 species